rnacentral:rRNA from 1 species
AACGAACGCUGGCGGCACGUUUUAAGCAUGCAAGUCGAAUGGCAGCAGGGGCAACUCUGUGAGAAUGGCGAACGGGUGAGUAACACGUAGGUGAUCUGCCUUGAGGAUGGGGAUAGCCUGUGGAAACACAGGGUAAUACCGAAUAAGCUGACGGGACUUUGGUUUUGUUAGUAAAGGUGCUACGGCACCGCCUUGAGAGGAGCCUGCGGCUGAUUAGCUAGUUGGUGGGGUAAAGGCCUACCAAGGCGACGAUCAGUAGCCGGCCUGAGAGGGUGUACGGCCACACUGGGACUGAGACACGGCCCAGACUCCUACGGGAGGCAGCAGCUAAGAAUCUUCCGGAAUGGGCGAAAGCCUGACGGAGCGAUGCCGCGUGAUCGAUGAAUGUCGAGAGAUUGUAAAGAUCUUUUCUACAUGAGGAAUAAGUCUGGGAGGGAAUGCCUGGAUGAUGACGUUAGUGUAGGAAUAAGCCCCAGCUAAUUACGUGCCAGCCGCCGCCGUAA